AAAUUUUCCAGAUAUCUACAUCCGUCUCACCCCUACAUUUAUCUGUAUAUAUUUGUUUUUAUUUACAUUGUUUCGUAUUUAUUUAUGAAUGAUAAAUAAAAAAGUUUAGUUUGCUAACAUGUUACCUUGCAUAAGUAAUUUAAAUUCUUACAGCAGGGAUAAAUAUAAGCCGAGUAUUUAGUAUUUUCUAUAUUUGGUAUUCGACUUGAUUUGUAUGAGUAGUAAUGAGAUCCUGCAAAGAUCAGCACUCUAGAAUGAUGAAAUGGGGAUAAGCUUUGCUGUUGAAUGCCGUCAAGCCUCAAACACAAGGAUUGUGAAUCGGUUGGUCACACAAGAGCAGCGAGAAACUCUUG
rnacentral:lncRNA from 1 species